UCGAUGAAAAUUGAAGAAAUAAGGUAUAAUUUUCCUCACAUCUAUAGGUUGUGAGUUGGUGUGGGAUUCGAGCUUAGAUCAUUCACACGUGUCCACUUGUAGUAGGUACAUAACAUCUAAGGUUUGCAUUGUUGUUCACACGCUUGAUUCAUUUUUUUUCAUCUAUAAAAAAGAGCUCCUCCAUACAUCUUAAAACACAGAAGCUGGUGCCUUCGUCAUGUCUGGCACUCUCCGGUUCUCUUUUAUGCUUUUCAUGUUCUUCAUCACGAGUUUUUGUGUCCAUUUUCCCUAUUUUCUAACUUUACAUUUCAUUUUUAUGGCAGAUGGAUCUUACUUCCAAUAGCUAAAUAUAUGCAACAAACGUACCUAGCUAUAUGGUGAGGGGUUUCGAUGCGAUUCUUGUCAAGUGAGCAGUCUUUUGCAGUUGACCUCUCUUUCGUUGUCUGUUCGACCUUGAUUAUAUUCAUAUAUUUGCAACCCUAGUUACAUACUUCCUUAAUAAAUAUCUUAACGUAUAUUUACUUUUAUUUUAUUUUCUUCAUCACCUACCACAAUUUUUUUGGGUCCCUUUCAUUCAUAUCUCCUGACAUAUCAAUUUAUAUGUUGCAUGUUUAUAGAUUACAAAUUGUCUACAACUACCAAAAAAACUAACAUCUUCUUGGUUUUCGGGAUAAACAUAGAUUUUAACCCAUAAUCUUAGAGAUAUUGGACGUUGAUAGGUAGCUCUAAUGGUGGAAAAUAAACUGUCGAUAUUAAAAGGACGAUGGGAAGUUAGUUCAAUUACCAUGAUGUAUAGAUUAUUUAAAGGGUGAUCAUGGACUACAUGAAUCUCGUUCACUAGUCCCGAAUGGAUACAAAAUCCUAGCACCAUAUAUGAUCAACCCAUCCACAGUGUUCUUGUCGGCCUAUAGUAGGAGUCAGAGGACGAAAUUAGAUAGAAUUCUGAUUAUAAGCAUAUAUAUAAUCAUGCGAUAAUGAUUUUAAACAGUAUCAUUUUGUGUAGGGUUGGUGUUCAAUUUGAUUUUGUUAUAAUCUACCAAAAUUAUCUUUUCCAGUUUUGGUAGAGAUAUAUUACUAUAUACAAAGUAUAUGAGCUUCCUUUCGCACUUCCAUGUGUGAUAAAUAUUAUCAUUAGGUGUUUAUAAGCUAUAUUAAAUGUUAUGUGCUAGAAUACUACUUUAAUACCGUAUAUAUUACAUUCGGUGUUUAUAAGAAUAGUUUUUUCAAAACAGUUUUAAAUCCGAAAGAUCAAAAUAUAGGUUUUUACAAUCACCAUUAACCUCUUAUAUCGGUCUGAGUUAUAAUCUAGUCUAUUUAAUACACUUUGAAUUUUUAUAAAUAUAUCAAUUUUCAAAAGCAGUCACAAUUAUAUUUGGUAGUUUUAGAGUUUUUGUUUAGUUCCUUUUUCAUGUUCCUUUUCUCCUUUUUCCAUCUCAUGAUUUAAACUUUAAACAUUUUAUAUUAAAAAAAAAUGUGUUAUGUUAUCAAUAGAAGAUGGUCCUUUGUAUCCUCACCUACCCAUGCAGGCAAACAAAGAAAAAGAGCCUUUCUUGACAGUGACCACCAUCUUUUUAAUAAUAUAGACCACACCCUAACCUUUAUUGAGUAUUUAUUAUAUUUAAUCAACAUAUAAUUGAAAUAAAUAUUAUUAUUAUUAUUAUUAUAAAUAUACUUAUAUGUAGCAAUGACCAGAGAAACUCUUUAAUCAAACACUAACGAUAUCUUUCAUCACAUUAACGAAAUGUCAAAUCGUCUAAAAGUAAGCGUAUGACCAAAUGUGGGGUCCAUAACCAUUGGAUCAUGAGUUUUUAGCCGUUGCUUAGAUCUCAAAUGAAUAUACUUUUGAUACCUACCACCACUAAAAGACUAAAAAAAAUGGAAAAAUAAUAAUUUAAGUACAAUUUACACAAGUAGCUAAGUAGGUAAGAAAAUAGUCCCCGUAGCGAUAGCCUAUGUGGCUCCAUCACCACCACCGCUGCCAACAACCACCGUCUUUGGAACUUUCUCCUUUUUGUCUUCACCACCCUUCCAUCCUCCACCACUUGCUGCUCCAUACUUGCAUGUAUGUGUGUGUGUAUGUGUAAGUGUAUGUGUAUGUGUGUUGUAAUUAUCUAUGCAUGACAAGGUGGAACAGACAAUGAAUGUGAGGUGAUAACAAGCAAAAAGACUGGUUACUUGACAAGUGUUUGCAUGGAAACCUACACUGAAAGAAGUGGAGGGGGACUGGAAAUGGAAUUAAGUCGAUAGGUGGUCAAGAAGAAGGCUCAACGGUCAAUUUCCCGACUAUUUCGGUAGAAGCCAUUAAAGCUUUGCAGAAGCUCGAAAGAGAGAGGUUUUGAAGCUUGAAAACGAAUAGCAAUGGUGUCAGGCACACCAAACGAUGCAAAUUAUUGGGAUUGUUUUUUGAGUUAUUUUAAUUUUAUUUUCUUUCAACUGUAUUCGUUAGAUUGUACAUGUACAUUAAGUUUUAUAAAAAUACGAAUACGUUACCAUAUGAUUAUAGUUUUAGAAUACACGACUCAAUUAUAUAUCAAGCUAAUGUUUUAAUUUCCAAAUGCAAUUAUUCAAUAUCUUGUUAACUAAAAUUUAAUUGGGUUAGAUUCAGUCACAUAUUAAACCCCAAGUAAGAAGCAUAUUAAAAAAUUGAUGACUAAAUGACCCAAGGGUCUUUUUUACCAGAUCAAGUAAAU
rnacentral:lncRNA from 1 species